AGCUCAAUUUGGCAGAGCAGCGGUUUCCAAAACCGGCGGUUGGGGGUUCGAGUCCCUCC
rnacentral:tRNA from 1 species